CCUACGGGGGGCAGCAGUGGGGAAUAUUGCGCAAUGGGCGAAAGCCUGACGCAGCGACGCCGCGUGAGGGAUGAAGGUCUUCGGAUCGUAAACCUCUGUCAGCAGGGAAGAACGGUCACUGUGCUAAUCAGCAGUGAAUUGACGGUACCUGCAAAGGAAGCACCGGCUAACUCCGUGCCAGCAGCCGCGGUAAUACGAAGGGUGCGUGCGUUAAUCGGAAUUGCUGGGCGUAAGGCGCUCGUAGGCGGUAUGUCACGUCAAGGGUGAAAUCCCCGCGCUCAACGUGGGAACUGCCUUUGAAACUGGCAAACUGGAGUGUUGGAGAGGAUAGUGGAAUUCCAGGUGUAGGAGUGAAAUCCGUAGAUAUCUGGAGGAACAUCAGUGGCGAAGGCGACUAUCUGGCACAUAACUGACGCUGAGGAGCGAAAGCGUGGGUAGCAAACAGGAUUAGAUACCCCUGUAGUC
rnacentral:rRNA from 1 species